GUCUAUGGCUAAGCCACCCAGAAUGCAUCUGAUCACGGGAGCUAAGCAGGGCUGGGCCCGGUUAGUACCUGGAUGAAAGAAACCUCAUUGUAGCAGGUG
ensembl:rRNA 5S_rRNA 5S ribosomal RNA